rnacentral:misc_RNA from 1 species
CCGAGAAACUCGCCCUCAUGGGUAGAUCUCCCACCCUAUGUAUAUUAUACUUUGUUGCUUUGGCAGGCCUGCCUCUGAGCGACUGGCCUUGGGCUAGUUAGUGCCUGCCAGAGAACCAACACCCUGAAUCAUUUAUUGUCCGAGUCAUAUUCAAUUGUUA